rnacentral:rRNA from 1 species
AGAGUUUGAUCAUGGCUCAGAGUGAACGCUGGCGGCGUGCCUAACACAUGCAAGUCGAACGAGAACGGGUUACAGUUUACUGUAACUGUCAGCUAAGUGGCGCACGGGUGAGUAAUAUAUAGUUAACCUGCCCCAAAGAAGAGAAUAAUUGUUGGAAACGACUUGUAAUGCUCUAUAUGCCUUUGUCACAUAAGUGAGCAAGGGAAAUAUUUAUAGCUUUGGGAUGGGACUGUACGGUAUCAGUUUGUUGGUGAGGUAAUGGCUCACCAAGACUAUGACGCCUAACUGGUUUGAGAGGAUGAUCAGUCACACUGGAACUGAGACACGGUCCAGACUCCUACGGGAGGCAGCAGUGGGGAAUAUUGCACAAUGGACGAAAGUCUGAUGCAGCAACGCCGCGUGGAGGAUGACACAUUUCGGUGCGUAAACUCCUUUUAUUAGGGAAGAUAAUGACGGUACCUAAUGAAUAAGCACCGGCUAACUCCGUGCCAGCAGCCGCGGUAAUACGGAGGGUGCAAGCGUUACUCGGAAUCACUGGGCGUAAAGAGAGUGUAGGCGGGUUAAUAAGUUUGAAGUGAAAUCCAAUGGCUCAACCAUUGAACUGCUUUGAAAACUGUUAGCCUAGAAUAUGGGAGAGGUAGAUGGAAUUUCUGGUGUAGGGGUAAAAUCCGUAGAGAUCAGAAGGAAUACCGAUUGCGAAGGCGAUCUACUGGAACAUUAUUGACGCUGAGAUCCGAAAGCGUGGGGAGCAAACAGGAUUAGAUACCCUGGUAGUCCACGCCCUAAACGAUGCACACUAGUUGUUGCAAGGCUAGACCUUGCAGUAAUGCAGUUAACGCAUUAAGUGUGCCGCCUGGGGAGUACGGUCGCAAGAUUAAAACUCAAAGGAAUUGACGG